rnacentral:rRNA from 1 species
GGCCUUAGCGCGGUGGUCCCACCUGACCCCAUGCCGAACUCAGAAGUGAAACGCCGUAGCGCCGAUGGUAGUGUGGGGUUUCCCCAUGCGAGAGUAGGGAACUGCUAGGC